rnacentral:rRNA from 1 species
UGGGGAAUUUUGGACAAUGGGGGAAACCCUGAUCCAGCCAUCCCGCGUGUGCGAUGAAGGCCUUCGGGUUGUAAAGCACUUUUGGCAGGAAAGAAACGUCGCGGGUUAAUACCCUGCGAAACUGACGGUACCUGCAGAAUAAGCACCGGCUAACUACGUGCCAGCAGCCGCGGUAAUACGUAGGGUGCAAGCGUUAAUCGGAAUUACUGGGCGUAAAGCGUGCGCAGGCGGUUCGGAAAGAAAGAUGUGAAAUCCCAGAGCUUAACUUUGGAACUGCAUUUUUAACUACCGGGCUAGAGUGUGUCAGAGGGAGGUGGAAUUCCGCGUGUAGCAGUGAAAUGCGUAGAUAUGCGGAGGAACACCGAUGGCGAAGGCAGCCUCCUGGGAUAACACUGACGCUCAUGCACGAAAGCGUGGGGAGCAAACAGGAUUAGAUACCCUGGUAGUCCACGCCCUAAACGAUGUCAACUAGCUGUUGGGGCCUUCGGGCCUUGGUAGCGCAGCUAACGCGUGAAGUUGACCGCCUGGGGAGUACGGUCGCAAGAUUAAAACUCAAAGGAAUUG